CAUUGGCUCUGACCCCUACUCAGCUGUGUGUGUGACUCUGGGACAGUGUCUUCAUCUCUCUGAGUAUUUAUUUUCUCAUGUUCAAAGGAAGAGCUUGGACUGUGAUUUCAAAUCACCUCGUCAUGACCCCUGAUUCCUACGUAAUAAGUGACAAUUACCAUCUGCUCAACAGGUAGCCUUUACUGUCCCUACCUGCAGCUCUGGUGAUGAGGACACCGUGGGCACCUUGCACAACUUACAGUCUAGUCACACGCAGCCUCAUAAGUAACAAAUGCUGGUGUAGAGCCAUCAGAGGCCAGGAGGGGAUUUCUAGUCCUCAUCACCUGUCUGCUUCCUGGUCCAGCUUAUCGACAUCACUCUCAGGGAGAGUCAUGUCAGUCCUAAGAACUCCAAACCCUGUCACAUGAAGCCACCGGGGAGUCCCCGUAAUCAGCUAUCGCCUUCCGGGGCCUGACUCCAGUAGAGCUCACUCAGCCUUUUCACAACACUCUGGAAGACUCUGGGCUGCUGAAAGUCAGAGUCACAACCGUAGAAGGCAGGCGGUCAGGUCUGCGGAGGAUUCCGGGCUGCGCUCCCCAUCUUACCAACACCAUUAACCGAAUAACUAACUGCCUGCAUCGGCGUGAAGCAACCCAAGGAGGGAACAGCUGAAAGUAAGCUUCCCUCAGAAUGAAGAAACAGCCCCGGACCCCCAUGCAAACUGGAGCCCAUCUGCAGAAGCGUGCUUUGGCCUGACCAGACAUCACUGGGCGAGUGCCUAUGAAUAAGAACCGCCAACACCCUGACUUGACCAGUCCGAUUCCUCGCCCCAUGCUCCUCUGUGGAAAGCCCCUCCCCCCCAUGUCUGGCCUCACCUCACUGGAAAAGACCUUGAUAACAUCGAAGCACCGCGAUGAGACCUCAGCAAUACAAGAUGGCCCAAAGCAGCAACACCCACCGUGACUCUGUGAGGACGAGAUGGGUGUUUCGGGCGGAACUCUGCUCUGCGUGGUCCUCUAUCUUCUUGUUUGUUUUGUUUUAAAUUUAGAAAAUAAGUUUAUUGAUUGUCUGGAUUACAUUAUAAAACUACCUUUGACGCUGACUAAA